CCUACGGGAGGCAGCAGUAGGGAAUUUUCCACAAUGGGCGCAAGCCUGAUCGAGCUACGCCGCGUGUGUGAAGAAGGCCUUCGGAUCGUAAAACCCUGUUGUUAGAGACGAAAAUGCGUGAGAGUAACUGUUCACAUGUCGACGGUAUCUUAACAGAAAGCCACGGCUAACUACGUGCCAGCAGCCGCGGUAAUACGUAGGUGGCAAGCGUUAUCCGGAUUUAUUGGGCGUAAAGGGAAUGCAGGCGGUCUUGUAAGUCUGAUGUGAAAGCCUUCGGCUUAACCGGGGAAGGGCAUUGGAGACUGGGAGACUUGAGUGCAUAAGAGGAGAGUGGAACUCCAAGUGUAGCAGUGAAAUGCGUAGAUAUAUGGAAGAACACCAGUGGCGAAAGCGGCUCUCUGGUAUGUAACUGACGCUGAGGUUCGAAAGCGUGGGUAGCAAACAGGAUUAGAUACCCCAGUAGUC
rnacentral:rRNA from 1 species